rnacentral:rRNA from 1 species
UACGUAGGGUGCAAGCGUUGUCCGGAAUUAUUGGGCGUAAAGGGCUCGUAGGCGGUUUGUCGCGUCGGGAGUGAAAACUCAGGGCUUAACCCUGAGCCUGCUUCCGAUACGGGCAGACUAGAGGUAUGCAGGGGAGAACGGAAUUCCUGGUGUAGCGGUGAAAUGCGCAGAUAUCAGGGGGAACACCGGUGGCGAAGGCGGUUCUCUGGGCAUUACCUGACGCUGAGGAGCGAAAGUGUGGGGAGCGAACAGGG